AACGAACGUUGGCGGCAUGCCUAACACAUGCAAGUCGAACGAGACCUUCGGGUCUAGUGGCGCACGGGUGCGUAACGCGUGGGAAUCUGCCCUUGGGUUCGGAAUAACUCGCCGAAAGUCGUGCUAAUACCGGAUGAUGUCGUAAGACCAAAGAUUUAUCGCCCAGGGAUGAGCCCGCGUAAGAUUAGGUAGUUGGUGGGGUAAAGGCUCACCAAGCCGACGAUCUUCAGCUGGUCUGAGAGGGUGAUCGGCCACAUUGGGACUGAGACACGGCCCAA
rnacentral:rRNA from 1 species